CGAUACAGGGUGACAGCCCCGUACACAAAAAUGCACAUGCUGUGAGCUCGAUGAGUAGGGCGGGACACGUGGUAUCCUGUCUGAAUAUGGGGGGACCAUCCUCCAAGGCUAAAUACUCCUGACUGACCGAUAGUGAACCAGUACCGUGAGGGAAAGGCGAAAAGAACCCCGGCGAGGGGAGUGAAAAAGAACCUGAAACCGUGUACGUACAAGCAGUGGGAGCACAGAGCAAUCUGUGUGACUGCGUACCUUUUGUAUAAUGGGUCAGCGACUUAUAUUCUGUAGCAAGGUUAACCGAAUAGGGGAGCCGAAGGGAAACCGAGUCUUAACUGGGCGUUAAGUUGCAGGGUAUAGACCCGAAACCCGGUGAUCUAGCCAUGGGCAGGUUGAAGGUUGGGUAACACUAACUGGAGGACCGAACCGACUAAUGUUGAAAAAUUAGCGGAUGACUUGUGGCUGGGGGUGAAAGGCCAAUCAAACCGGGAGAUAGCUGGUUCUCCCCGAAAGCUAUUUAGGUAGCGCCUCGUGAAUUCAUCUCCGGGGGUAGAGCACUGUUUCGGCAAGGGGGUCAUCCCGACUUACCAACCCGAUGCAAACUGCGAAUACCGGAGAAUGUUAUCACGGGAGACACACGGCGGGUGCUAACGUCCGUCGUGAAGAGGGAAACAACCCAGACCGCCAGCUAAGGUCCCAAAGUCAUGGUUAAGUGGGAAACGAUGUGGGAAGGCCCAGACAGCCAGGAUGUUGGCUUAGAAGCAGCCAUCAUUUAAAGAAAGCGUAAUAGCUCACUGGUCGAGUCGGCCUGCGCGGAAGAUGUAACGGGGCUAAACCAUGCACCGAAGCUGCGGCAGCGACGCUGAUGCGUUGUUGGGUAGGGGAGCGUUCUGUAAGCCUGUGAAGGUGUGCUGUGAGGCAUGCUGGAGGUAUCAGAAGUGCGAAUGCUGACAUAAGUAACGAUAAAGCGGGUGAAAAGCCCGCUCGCCGGAAGACCAAGGGUUCCUGUCCAACGUUAAUCGGGGCAGGGUGAGUCGACCCCUAAGGCGAGGCCGAAAGGCGUAGUCGAUGGGAAACAGGUUAAUAUUCCUGUACUUGGUGUUACUGCGAAGGGGGGACGGAGAAGGCUAUGUUGGCCGGGCGACGGUUGUCCCGGUUUAAGCGUGUAGGCUGGUUUUCCAGGCAAAUCCGGAAAACUAAGGCUGAGGCGUGAUGACGAGGCACUACGGUGCUGAAGCAACAAAUGCCCUGCUUCCAGGAAAAGCCUCUAAGCAUCAGGUAACAUCAAAUCGUACCCCAAACCGACACAGGUGGUCAGGUAGAGAAUACCAAGGCGCUUGAGAGAACUCGGGUGAAGGAACUAGGCAAAAUGGUGCCGUAACUUCGGGAGAAGGCACGCUGAUAUGUAGGUGAAGUCCCUCGCGGAUGGAGCUGAAAUCAGUCGAAGAUACCAGCUGGCUGCAACUGUUUAUUAAAAACACAGCACUGUGCAAACACGAAAGUGGACGUAUACGGUGUGACGCCUGCCCGGUGCCGGAAGGUUAAUUGAUGGGGUCAGCGCAAGCGAAGCUCUUGAUCGAAGCCCCGGUAAACGGCGGCCGUAACUAUAACGGUCCUAAGGUAGCGAAAUUCCUUGUCGGGUAAGUUCCGACCUGCACGAAUGGCGUAAUGAUGGCCAGGCUGUCUCCACCCGAGACUCAGUGAAAUUGAACUCGCUGUGAAGAUGCAGUGUACCCGCGGCAAGACGGAAAGACCCCGUGAACCUUUACUAUAGCUUGACACUGAACAUUGAGCCUUGAUGUGUAGGAUAGGUGGGAGGCUUUGAAGUGUGGACGCCAGUCUGCAUGGAGCCGACCUUGAAAUACCACCCUUUAAUGUUUGAUGUUCUAACGUUGACCCGUAAUCCGGGUUGCGGACAGUGUCUGGUGGGUAGUUUGACUGGGGCGGUCUCCUCCUAAAGAGUAACGGAGGAGCACGAAGGUUGGCUAAUCCUGGUCGGACAUCAGGAGGUUAGUGCAAUGGCAUAAGCCAGCUUGACUGCGAGCGUGACGGCGCGAGCAGGUGCGAAAGCAGGUCAUAGUGAUCCGGUGGUUCUGAAUGGAAGGGCCAUCGCUCAACGGAUAAAAGGUACUCCGGGGAUAACAGGCUGAUACCGCCCAAGAGUUCAUAUCGACGGCGGUGUUUGGCACCUCGAUGUCGGCUCAUCACAUCCUGGGGCUGAAGUAGGUCCCAAGGGUAUGGCUGUUCGCCAUUUAAAGUGGUACGCGAGCUGGGUUUAGAACGU
rnacentral:rRNA from 1 species